rnacentral:tRNA from 1 species
CCAUUUCGCGACACUAGCUCAGUUGGUAGAGCGCAACCUUGCCAAGGUUGAGGUCACGAGUUCGAACCUCGUGUGU